rnacentral:rRNA from 1 species
UUGAACGCUGGCGGCAUGCCUUACACAUGCAAGUCGAACGGCAGCACGGGAGCAAUCCUGGUGGCGAGUGGCGGACGGGUGAGUAACGCGUAGGAAUCUACCUAAGAGAUGAGGAUAACCUGGGGAAACUCAGGCUAAUACUGAAUACGCCCUUUGGGGUAAAGGAUGCGCAAGCUUCCGCUUUUAGAUGAGCCUGCGUUAGAUUAGCUAGUUGGUGGGGUAAAGGCCUACCAAGGCGACGAUCUAUAGCUGUUCUGAGAGGAAGAUCAGCCACACUGGGACUGAGACACGGCACAGACUCCUACGGGAGGCAGCAGUGGGGAAUCUUGGACAAUGGGGGAAACCCUGAUCCAGCGAUGCCGCGUGUGUGAAGAAGGCCUUAGGGUUGUAAAGCACUUUAAUGAGGGAGGAGUAGGCAAGUUUGAAUAGAGCUUGCUGAGGACGUUACCUCAAGAAUAAGCACCGGCUAACUCUGU